GGAAUCUUCCACAAUGGGCGAAAGCCUGAUGGAGCAACGCCGCGUGGGUGAAGAAGGUCUUCGGAUUGUAAAGUUCUUUUCUAAGGGAAGAAGAAAGUGACGGUACCUUAGGAAUAAGCCUCGGCUAACUACGUGCCAGCAGCCGCGGUAAUACGUAGGAGGCGAGCGUUAUCCGGAAUGACUGGGCGUAAAGGGUGCGUAGGUGGUUUGGCAAGUUAGUAGCGUAACUCCAAGGCUCAACCUUGGAACUACUACUAAAACUGUUGGACUUGAGUGCAGGAGGGGCAACCGGAAUUCCUAGUGUAGCGGUGGAAUGCGUAGAUAUUAGGAGGAACACCAGUGGCGAAGGCGGGUUGCUAGACUGUAACUGACACUGAGGCACGAAAGCGUGGGGAGCAAACAG
rnacentral:rRNA from 1 species